rnacentral:rRNA from 1 species
AUUGAACGCUGGCGGCAUGCUUUACACAUGCAAGUCGAACGGUAGAGGGCCAACCCUUGAGAGUGGCGAAGGGGUGAGUAAUGCAUCGGAACGUGCCUAGUAGUGGGGGAUAGCCCGGCGAAAGCCGGAUUAAUACCGCAUACGACCUACGGGUGAAAGCGGGGGAUCGCAAGACCUAUCGCUUCUGGACCGGCCCAUGACGGAUUAGGUAGUUGGUGGGGUAAAGGCCUACCAAGCCGACGAUCGGUAGCUGGUCUGAGAGGACGACCAGCCACACUGGGACUGAGACACGGCCCAGACUCCUACGGGAGGCAGCAGUGGGGAAUUUUGGACAAUGGGCGCAAGCCUGAUCCAGCCAUGCCGCGUGCGGGAAGAAGGCCUUCGGGUUGUAAACCGCUUUUGUCAGGGGAGAAAUCCUUUGAGCUAAUACCUCGGGGGGAUGACGGUACCUGAGGAAUAAGCACCGGCUAACUACGUGCCAGCCGCCGCGGUAAUAC